rnacentral:rRNA from 1 species
CCUACGGGUGGCAGCAGUCGAGAAUCAUUCACACUGGGGGAAACCCUGAUGCUGCGACGCCGCGUGGGGGAAUGAAGGUCUUCGGUUUUUAAACACCUGUCACGUGGGAUCAAAUUGAAAAGAUAGUACCCUAAGAGGUAGACCCGGCUAACGCUGUGACCGCCGCCGCGGUAAUACAGAGGUGUCACGCGUUUUUGGGAAUGACUGGGCGUAAAGCGUGCGUAGGCGGUUUCGUAAGUCGUGUGUGAAAGGCGCGGGCGCAACCCGGGUACGGCACAUGAUACUGGGAGGCUAGAGUCAUGGAGGGGGAAGCGGAAUUCGCGGUGUAGCAGUGAAAUGCGUAGAGA